AACCACGUUAUGAAAAUUACAAUCGUAUCGACUGAAAUGUGAAGAAGGUUUUUGCACAGUGGUGGCCACUAGCGGAGUGAACUGUGAACAGCGAUAAGGUAUAGCUAAGAGUGGUCCAGACUAACCUUACGAACGAAUGACUUACAGAAGGUAUACUUAACU